AGGGAAUUUUCCACAAUGGACGAAAGUCUGAUGGAGCAACGCCGCGUGCAGGAUGAAUGCCUUCGGGUUGUAAACUGCUUUUAUAUGUGACGAAUAUGACGGUAGCAUAUGAAUAAGGAUCGGCUAACUCCGUGCCAGCAGUCGCGGUCAUACGGAGGAUCCAAACGUUAUCCGGAAUUACUGGGCGUAAAGAGUUGCGUAGGUGGCAGAGUAUGUCUGUAGUGAAAGCGUGUGGCUCAACCAUAUAUACAUUACAGAAACUGCUCAGCUAGAGAGCGAGAGAGGUAACUAGAAUUCCUUGUGUAGGAGUGGAAUCCGUAGAUAUAAGGAGGAAUACCGAUGGCGUAGGCAGGUUACUGGCUCGUCUCUGACACUAAGGCACGAAAGCGUGGGUAGCAAAC
rnacentral:rRNA from 1 species